rnacentral:lncRNA from 15 species
AAAAUCAUAGACUGGCUCUGAAGAAUUGGGGGAUCCUUAGAGUUCCUUACUGACAAGCUGAAAAUCCCUGUAUCACUGUAUAUUGAGGAGCACCAGCUGCUUAACCAGCUCCAUGGUUUUCUGACUUGUCCAAGACUGCAAUUUUGGCAUCUGACUAAGAGUCUAGUCACGGCACAAGAAGAUCUCUUUAUGGCCCGUAUGGAGAGGAGGAAUGAUUACAACGACCCAUAACUGUUGCAGCGUACAUAUGACGUGUGAGUAUUGUUUUAACAGAAACUAAAACUGAGACUGAGAAGGUUUGGAAAAAAUAACCCUGAUGAUAUCACUGUG